UCCUCCUUGCCAGUCAGUUUUGCUGUCUAUGCAGUAGCUCUUUAGCCAACAAUCUACAGAAGAGUUUUUGCUCCUGAUAACCCCUGUCAGCCUUGUUGUCCCUGUUUCUCUGGUGUUUUUUGUUGCGUUCCUGUGUUACCUGCUCUCCUUGAUACCUUGCUGCCAUUCCACCAGGUUACAUUCCUCCUGCUCGGCACUAUGCUGCUCUGUCUCGCAACACACCUUGACACAGUCUGACUAACAACACGAUCCCCAGCCACCCAGUUCGCCACUACCAGCGAGGCCCAUCUCAGCUUCGUUCUAGUGCUCCUCGGGGUCUACUCUCAUCUCAGCUACAGAGUGCAGUUCUCAACCAGCCUGGCGCUACACCGCCUAAUCUCUCUCUACUCCUCGACUCUACCUGGCUGAAGGUAUGCUGCUCAGUCUCUCCAUGCUCCUCUCCUCUUUGCAGCCAGUCCUUGGCUGAGCUUCCCUCCACUCUUCUACACAGUCAGCCUACCAACAGCUAUCCUGCUCCUCCCUGCAUCUAUUUGGCUUUGCCUGACCUCGGACUCCCUGACACCUCGCUGUCCCAAGACUAUGUUUACAAGGCAGGUGGUUCUCAGCUCCACAUUUGACGCAGCUCGGUACCUCCUGUCACCCUCAUUUCAUGUCUGCUGGUUCUCCUAGUAAGGUUAGUUCUGGUCCUGGUUCUUGCUCCGCUUUCCUCGACGACAGUCCUCCUGAUCGUGCCACUCCCACCCUGGCAUUCUCUAGCUACAUCAAGCCUUCAAUUCUUUGUCACCCUACCAGCCGUCUGUAUCCACCCUGCCCGCCAGCCCUCCACUCAUCAUCACUCGUUGGAAGACAGCCACCCUACCACUCUCCGGGGCCUCUGGCCUGGCAACCUCGCCCUAUCCUGCAUCUGCUCCCUGCUUCUCCUCCAUCUUGUUCCUGAUGAUCUCCCUCACCAGACUCCAUUCUAGCAAGGUGGUAGACAAGCAGUGAUUCAGCCACCUCUACCCAGUCCGCUCUGUUCACUUCCCUUACGUUAGUCUUUAACUAAAGCUCUAGUUUUGCCUGCUAUCUGUAACUGCUUUUGAUGUCCAAAUUUGUGCUUGUGGCCCUAGGCCAUAACAGAGGUACCCAAGAUUAAAUAUUAAAUGGCUGGAAACGAGCAAAAUGAGCAUGCCAUGGGGACUUUAAUAAUACUGUUAAUGUAAAGUUCUGUCAAUUGAUUUUAUUUGAAAGUCUGAAAAUCAAGUUAUUAGUGUUCAUUAUAAAAACAGGAUUUACUGUAAUUAUUCUUGUACAAACAUUAGUAAUGUGAUAGUACAGUGUGCACAGAUAAGCUUUUUUUUUAUUUGUUUUUGCAGUCUUUUGGCAGAAUCUUACUAGAUGAUUCCAUAAAAUAUAGUGACUACUAACAAAGAAACACCAAGAUUAAUUAAGAUUUAAGUUGAAAGAAAAGGUAAUUCAGUGCUGCAUAGCUCCAUCUAUACUGUAGCACCUGCAGUAAGAAGAAACCGUUGUGUAAUAGUUCUUGAGAGAGGAACCGUGUUCCAAAAAUGUUUGCUGUUACAAUUAUUAUUGAAACCCUUAUUUCUGGAUGCGUAGAACAUACAAUAGGCUACAUCUCCCCAAACUUUGAAAACCCCUUAUCUAGAUGACACUAAAUAUGAAAGAAUAAAAAUCUACCAAUAGAGAUCCAUUUGACAGCUUAAAAUAGAAUUUUCUUUUUUUUAUAUUAAAAUCACCUAUUGCCUAUUUAAGGCCAGCAGUAAUAAAGCCAUCAGACGUGCUUACUGCGCUUUUGGAAAAUAGGGUAAUACUGUACAACAAGCUUGUUUUUUUACAGCAUUUUUCUCAUGCAGCUGUGUUAACUGGAAAAGAUGUCAAUAAAGCCUCAGCAACCUGA